CUCAGGUUAGAAUGAAAAUUAGUAGAUCACUUAAAUGGAAUAGGGGUGCUAGCAUUCGCACCUGGAAACUAGCUAGAGACAUGUUGCUGUUCUGGAAACGAAUAGAUAAGGAGAUGGCCGAAGUGAGAAAAAGAGAGGAGAAAGAAGCGGUUGAAGCUUUGAGACGUGAACAGGAGCUUCAAGAAGCUAAGAGACAGCAACAAAGGCUUACCUUUCUGAUACAACAAACUGAGCUCUACAGUCACUUUAUGAAGAAUAAGUCAGAUUUACUAUCUCCGGAAGUUGCAGGAGCGAGUUUUGACAAUGCUUUUGACAAUGAAUGUUUGAGGUUGCGACAGGUGGGUGAAGCUGAUUCACUUACGCAUGAAGUUGCAGGAGCGAGUAAUAUUGAUUUGCAAACCCCAUAAAUUAGAAGUUGAUUUGUGCAUUGUUGGAAAGUCAAUUAUGGCCAUCUAGAGUCACGUUCGACUGGAGGGAACUAGCUUUAUUAGGGAGCAAAUUAGUAUAUAUAUAUAUAUAUAUAUAUAUAUAUAUAUAUAUAUAUAUAUAUAUAUAUAUUUUUGUAUUGUAUUUUGUGUUUUGAGAAUUUGAUUGUAAACUUUGCUUCUAGAGCACUUAUAAAAUUAGUGAUGUUUUAUUUGUAUUUUGAUAAUAAAUAUAUGCAAUACUAAUUCA